rnacentral:rRNA from 1 species
UACGUAGGGGGCAAGCGUUGUCCGGAUUUAUUGGGCGUAAAGAGCGUGUAGGCGGCCUGACAGGUCUGCUGUGAAACUCGAGGCUCAACCUCGAGAUGUCGGCGGAAACCGUCUGGCUAGAGUCCGGAAGAGGAGAGUGGAAUUCCUGGUGUAGCGGUGAAUGCGCAGAUAUCAGGAAGAACACCUAUGGCGAAGGCAGCUCUCUGGGACGGUACUGACGCUGAGACGCGAAAGCGUGGGAGCGAACAGG